AUGUCAUCCCCCACAAAUGAUGCAGCUCCCACCUAUAAUUUUGUAAAUGCCAGAUGUCUAUGGCAAGAUGCAUCAUUCACCCAAGUUUUGUCAAUCGGGCCAGUGGUGUCUGCGAUAUCGCAGGCCUCUGUUGCAUUUAAAGAAUAUUGCAGCUUUUCCGAUAAAGAUGUGUGUGGGAUGAGUCGCUGCUCUCGGAGUGUGGAGAAAGCCUCUGAAAAUGGCUGGGGGAGAGUGACACAGGCUGCUGGGGGUCCCUACACCGACCACGCCAACCUGGGCACUAAUGGUACUGGUUUCUUCAUGCAUGCCAGCACAGCAUCAGGCCAUGAGGGGGACACAGCCUGGCUGGAGAGCAGGGAGAUGACUCCCAGUGUAACCGAUGUGAAAUGGCUAGUUAGUUAGCGGUGGUGCGCGCUAAUAGCGUUUCAAUCAGUGACGUCACUCGCUCUGAGACUUGAAGUAGGGUUUCCCCUUGCGUUGCAAGGGCCGCGGCUUUUGUGGCGCGAUGGGUACCGUUGCUUCGUGGGGUGUCAGUUGUUGAUGUGUGCAAGGGUCCCUGGUUCGAGCCCGGGUUGGGGCGAAGAGAGGGACGGAACCUACACUGUUACACCAGCAGGAAGUGCAGUGUCCAGUGUCUACAGUUCUACUUCUACCACAGUGGUAACGAGUCAGAUCAGCUCAACAUCUGCCAGAGCCCGGACUUGAACACGAUCAAACAUCUCUGGAGAGACCUGAAAAUAGCUGUGCAGCGAGGCUCCCCAUCCAGCCUGACAGAACCUGAGAGGAUCUGCAGAGAAGAAUGGAAGAAACUCCCCAAAUAUAAGUGUGCCAAGCUUGUAGCGUCAUACCCAAGAAGACUCAAGGCUGUAAUCGCUGCUAAAGGUGCUUCAAUAAAGUACUGAGUAAAAGGUCUAAAUACUUAUGUAAAAUGUGAUAUACAUGUUUUAUUUUUAAUACAUUAGCAAAAAAUGUAACUUUGUUUUCUAUUGGGGUUAGAUUGAAGGGCGGGGACAAUUUAAUUCAUUUUAGAAUAAGGCUGUAACGUAACAAAAUGUGAAAAUAAAGUCUUAGGGGUCUAAAUACUUUCCAAAUGCACUAUAGAUAGAUAUCACAAAAAGGGCAUUAUCGCAACUUUCACAGUAUUCCAACCUACUAGUGUGUGUCUGUGUGUAUAUGUAUACCCACACAGUACCAGUCAAAUGUUUGGACACCUACUCAUUCAAGGGUUUUUGUUAAUGUUUUUUUACUAUUUUCUACAUUGUAUAAUAAUAGAGUAGACAUCAAAACUAUGAAAUAACACAUGGAAUCCUUUAGUAGCCAAGAAAGUGUUAAAAAUCAACAUAGUAGCCACCCUUUGCCUUGAUGACAGCUUUGCACAAUCUUGGCAUUCCCUCAAUCAGCUUCAAAAGGUAGUCACCUGGAAUGCAUUUCAAUUAACAGGUGUGCCUUGUUAAUAUUCUGGAAUUUAAUUCCUCCUUAAUGAGUUUAAGCCAGUCAGUUGUGUUGUGACAAGGAAGGGGUGGUAUACAGAAGAUGGCCCUAUUUGGUAAAAGAUCAAGUCCAAAUGAUGGCAAGAACAUUUCAAAUCAGCAAAGAGAAAUGACAGUCCAUCAUUACUUUAAGACAUGAAGGUCAAUCCCGUGUGGCUCAGUUGGUAGAGAAUGGUGUUUGCAACGUCAGGGUUGUGGGUUCGAUUCCCACGGGGGACCAGUACGGAGACCAUUUUUUAUGAAAUGUAUGCAUUCACUACUGUAAGUCGCUCUGGAUAAGAGCAUCUGCUAAAUGAGUAAAAUGUAAAAAAUGUAAAAAUGCAAUCAUUCCCGGAGAAUAACUAUGAAAGUUCCUCAAGUGCAGUCGCAAAAACCAUCAAGUGCUAUGAUGAAACUGGCUAUCAUGAGGACCGCCACAGGAAUGGAAGACCCAGAGUUACCUUUGCUGCAGAGGAUAAGUUCAUUAGAGUUGCCAGCCUCAGAAAUUGCAGCCAAAAUAAAUGCUUAAGAGUUCAAGUAACAGACACGUAUCAACAUCAACCGUUCAGAGGAGACUGCAUGAAUCAGGCCUUCAUGGUCAAAUUGCUGCAAAGAAACCACUACUAAAGGACACGAAGAAGAGAAUGGCUUGAGCCAAGAAACACGAGCAAUGGAUAUUAGACCUGUGGAAAUCUGUCCUUUGGUCUGAUGAGUCCAAUUUUGAGGUUUUUGGUUCUAACCGCUGUGUCUUUGUGAGAUGCAGAGUAGGUGAAUAGUUGAUCCCCGCAGGUGUGGUUCCCACCGUGAAGCAUGGAGGAGGAGGUGUGAUGGUGUGGGGAUGCAUUGCUGGUGACACAGUCUGUGAUUUUAUUUAGAUUAAAAGGCACUCUUAACCAGCAUGGCUACAACAGCAUUCUGCAGCGAUACACCAUCCCAUCUGGUUUGUGCUUAGUGGGACUAUCAUCUGUUUUGCAACAGGACAAUGACCCAACACAGCUCCAGGCUGUGUAAGGGCUAUUUGGCCAAGAAGGAGAGAGAUGGAGUGCUGCAUCAAAUGACCUGGUCUCCACAAUCACCCGAUCUCAACCCAAUUGAGAUGGUUUGGGAUGAGUUGGACUGCAGAGUGAAGGAAAAGUAGCCAACAAGUGCUCAACAUAUGUGGAAACUCCUUCAAAACUGUUGGAAAAGCAUUCCAGGUGAAGCUGGUUGAGAGAAUGCCAAGUCUGCAAAGCUGUCAAGGCAAAGGGUGGCAACUUUGAAGAAUCUCAAAUAUAAAUUAUAUUUUGAUUUAUUUAACACUUUUUUGGUUACUACAUGAUUCCAUAUGUGUUAUUUCCUAGUUUUGAUGUCUUCACUAUUAUUCUACGAUGUAGAAAACAGUAAAAAUAAAGAAAGAAAAACCCCUGAAUGAGUAGUUGUGUCAACUUUUGGCCUGUACUGUACAUAUUACCUCAAUUACCUCGUACCCCUGCACAUUAGCUCGGUACCGUUACGCUUUCUAUAUAGCCUCGUUAUUGAGAUUUUAUUGUGUUAUUAUUUCCUUUUUUUCUUAUUUGCACAUUUUUCGUACUUUUUAACUCUGCAUUGUUGGUAAAGGCUCGUAAGUAAGCCUUUCACGGUAAAGUGGCGUCUGCUGUGUCCCUUUUCCCUCCCAUAUUUGUGACCCUUCUCUAGAUGCAGUUUCUUGUCAACGGAUACAUUCGUCUGUCCCAUGCACUACAUUAGACCCAAGCUCAGUCACAGAGGAAGUUGAUCAACCCAUCUACAAACGGAGGUAAAUAUUAAUUCAGUCAUUCUGUCUGUAGGGGUUUCAUCUGCAUGUAUCAUGAUUGCAUCUGUGUCAAUAUAGUCUUUAAGAAUAUGUAAUUUGACAUGUUGUCACGCCCUGACCUGAGAGAGACUUUUUUAUGUCUCUAUUUAGGUUGGUCAGGGUGUGAUUUGGGUGGGCAUUCUAUGUCCUUUUUUC
ensembl:lncRNA